GCCGGUGUGGCUCAGUGGAUGGAGCGUCGGCCUGCAGACCGAAGUUCCCAGGUUCGAGUCCGGUCAAGGGCA
rfam:Myotis lucifugus cont2.57253, whole genome shotgun sequence.